CUCUCUAACUCUCAAAAUCCUCUCAACUCUCUCUCUAGAAACAAGUCCGGCGAGAAUUCCGGCCGACUUCCGGCGGAGUUCCGGCGACCGGCGACUUUUCCGGCAGAGUUCCGGCGACCGACGAUUUUUCGGCGAAUUUUCCGGCGGCCGUUUUUCAGCCAAGAGUACACUUUUUCGACUAUAUCCGACGUUCCGGAUCGCGUGGUGAGAUGCUUAGAUCGGGACUUGGGGAGCAUUUCUGCAAAUUUUCAAGAAAUUUUAUUCUCCGGCGAAAUUCCGACUUCUGACAUGGUUUUGGCGAGGUUCCAGCCGUCCGUUUUCGACGAAAAUUAUAUUUUUGGGCUCCUAGUGACCCGUAGAGUCCAUACGAAACACUUUCGUCUCGGGUGAAAAUUUAAGUUCGGGACGCUCUCGGGCUCGGGUCAACGCGGUCAACAAGUCAAACACGGGUCAAGAGGCAGUUUUGGGUAUUUUUAGUGCCUUGGUUCAAUUUCGGGUCCGGUCAACCCUGGUCAACACGGGUCAAACGUGGUCAAAGGUGGUCAAAGCUGGUCAAACGCAGUCAACUGUUGGUCAACGCAGUCAACUCAGUCAACACGACGCUCGGAAUGUCGUAGUUGCACGCUAGCUACUUCACAUUCUUGGAACGACACUACGGAAUCACGCUAAGCUAGAUUUGCCCAGGAAUAUCCAGGUGAGUUCAUAACCCCACCUUUUUACGGUUUUACAAACGUGAACUAAAAACGCGAUAGUAGGAAACGCAUCGGCAACGAGACGGAAGCGACGGUGGCGCUUGUCACCUUCAGAACUUACAUUUUACGCUAUAUUUAACUCCGUAAUGAAAUUUUAGUAGUUACAGUCGAAAUCGGAUCGAAAAACGGAUUAGAAACGACCUCCUGAGCAAAUUUCGCGGAUUUAACGCAACCGACGAACGAACGCGUCAACCGUCAACUUCCGACGCUAUUUUACAUAUCCUUGAUCCUAAAAUGACAUUGUACGAUAUUACACGACGUUCGGGUGCAAAAAGGGCUUUAGAAACGAGAUCGGGCGGUUCAAAAUGCUAGAAACAGGCUUGUGGGCCUUGGGCCCAAGCCCACAAAACCCUCACUAUAUAAAGGGUUUUACCCCGAAAAUCUCUCAUUUUCACCUAAACUUUCUCUCUCUAACUCUCAAAAUCCUCUUAACUCUCCCUCUCUAGAAACAAGUCCGGCGAGAAUUCCGGCCGACUUCUAGCGGAGUUCCGGCGACCGGCGACUUUUCCGGCGGAGUUCCGGCGACCGGCGAUUUUCCGGCGGCCGUUUUUCGGCCAAGAGUACACUUUUUCGACUAUAUCCGACGUUCCGGAUCGCGUGGUGAGAUGCUUAGAUCGGGACUUGGGGAGCAUUUCUGAAAAUUUUCAAGAAAUUUUAUUCUCCGGCGAAAUUCCGAUUUCUGACAUGGUUUUGGCAAGGUUCCAGCCGUCCGUUUUCGACCAAAAGUAUAUUUUUGGGUUCCUAAUGACCCGUAGAGUGCAUACGAAACACUUUUGUCUCGGGUGAAAAUUUAUGUUCGGGACGCUCUCGGGCUCGGGUCAACGCGGUCAACAGGUCAAACACGGGUCAAGAGGCAGUUUUGGGUCAUUUUUAGUACCUCGGUUCAGUUUCGGGUCCGGUCAACCCUGGUCAACACGGGUCAAACGUGGUCAAAGCUGGUCAAAGCUGGUCAAACUCAGUCAACUGUUGGUCAACGCAGUCAACUCAGUCAACACGAGGCUCGGAAUGUCGUAGUUGCACGCUAGCUACUUCACAUUCUUGGAACGACACUGCGGAAUCACGUUAAGCUAGCCUUGCCAAGGAAUAUCCAGGCGAGUUCAUAACCCCACCUUUUUAUGGUUUUACACUUUUGUAAAUGUUUUCGGGGUGGAAAGACAUGCACGUUUUUCAGAAACAUACAAGGUUAUCGAUAAACAAAGAUCGCAUAUUUUAGACAAAGCACGUUUCGCAAGAACAUACAAAGUUUUCGAAUGAAUGAAAACUCACAUUUCUAAAUCAUGUUACAAACGGAUUUCAAGGAACUCAAACGGUUUACGAAUGAACUUUAUACUAAUUAAACCGGUUUUUACAAAACAAAUGCGUAUUAUCGAAAUGUGAUUGAUGGUUUUUUACUAGGGGAAAUUAGCCUUAGAGGUUGGGGAGGUGCAGCCUUAGAGGCUGGGGUAAAAUACAUGCGACAGUUAUUACAGACAUUUACAGACAUUACAGACAUUUAUAGACAUUUACAGACAUUU